rnacentral:tRNA from 1 species
GCCUGGGUGGCUUAGUCUGUUAAGCAUCAGACUUCGGCUUGGGUCAUGAUCUCAUGGUUCGUGGGUUCGAGACCCACAUCUGGCU